rfam:Brachypodium distachyon strain Bd21 chromosome 2, whole genome shotgun sequence.
UAUGUACUCCCUCCGGCCGGAAUUAUUUGCCGAAAUAUUACAUGUAUUUAGACACUUUUCACACAUAGAUACAUCCGUAUUUAGCCAAAUUUAAGACAAGUAAUACCGGUCGGAGGGAGUAUAAA